rnacentral:tRNA from 1 species
AGAGGUGUGGCUCAGAGGUAGAGCGCUCACCUACCAUGUGUGAAGAACUGGGUUCGUUCCUCAGCACUACAU